rnacentral:tRNA from 1 species
UCAAAAUCAAAAAGCCGGAAUAGC